UACGUAGGUGGCAAGCGUUGUUCGGAAUUAUUGGGCGUAAAGGGCGCGUAGGCGGUUUGUUAAGUCGGCUGUGAAAGCCUGGGGCUCAACCCCAGAGGGUCGGCCGAUACUGGCAAACUAGAGUACGGAAGAGGUAGCUGGAAUUCCCGGUGUAGCGGUGAAAUGCGUAGAGAUCGGAAAGAACACCAACGGCGAAAGCACUCUGCUGAGCCGACACUGACACUGAGAGACGAAAGCUAGGGGAGCGAAUGGG
rnacentral:rRNA from 1 species